CUACGGGUCGCAGCAGUGGGGAAUAUUGCACAAUGGGCGCAAGCCUGAUGCAGCCAUGCCGCGUGUAUGAAGAAGGCCUUCGGGUUGUAAAGUACUUUCAGCGGGGAGGAAGGGAGUAAAGUUAAUACCUUUGCUCAUUGACGUUACCCGCAGAAGAAGCACCGGCUAACUCCGUGCCAGCAGCCGCGGUAAUACGGAGGGUGCAAGCGUUAAUCGGAAUUACUGGGCGUAAAGCACACGCAGGCGGUUUGUUAAGUCAGAUGUGAAAUCCCCGGGCUCAACCUGGGAACUGCAUCUGAUACUGGCAAGCUUGAGUCUCGUAGAGGGGGGUAGAAUUCCAGGUGUAGCGGUGAAAUGCGUAGAGAUCUGGAGGAAUACCGGUGGCGAAGGCGGCCCCCUGGACGAAGACUGACGCUCAGGUGCGAAAGCGUGGGAGCAAACAGGAUUAGAUACCCGUGUAGUC
rnacentral:rRNA from 1 species